UCAAAGAAAGGGGAUUUUAACCCCUACCCUUAGCUCCCAAAGCUAAGAUCCUAACUUAGACUAUUCCUUG
rnacentral:tRNA from 1 species